rnacentral:lncRNA from 1 species
GCUUUGAGACUUUUUGCCCCUACUUUAGAAUGAUGUUAGGAACAUGUUAUUUUUAAUAUUGGAAGAUCAGGCAGGUAGUUACAAAAGGCAUUGACCCUAAUAAAAAAUAACAAAUAUAUAAUUGCUAUGUUUAUCUUCCCAAACUGGGAUGUUAUUGGAUAAAGAAGACUUUCAUUUCUUCCCUCCAAGACGUUAGUGUUACAGUUUUAAACCCACAAAUCCAUUCCUGUAUGUGAUGAUUAUCUUGCAAUAUAAAAAUGAAUAUUUGUAGACAUCAUGAAUUAUGAUUAGCAUCUCUCAUUUUCACAAGGAUAGAGGAGGGGAAGUUGUGGUGGAAGAUUUUGAGACACUUGGACAUUCCAUCCGACAGAGGGCAUUAUAAAGGUCCAUCACAUACAGAGGUAGAGUUGAAUAAGGGAGACAGGAAAUUAUACACCAGACCAAAUUAGUUUUAAGGCUUCUGGACUUAAGUUUUGUGAAUAUGGUGUCAGACAGUUUUAGCUUUGGCAGCCAAGCAGGGUAUUGGGUAGAAAAAAAAAAAAAAAAGGAUGUUCAAUUUUCCAGAGAUUUCCUGUGUUUAUUAUUGUAAGGCUGUGAUUUAUUAAGAGUGUCUUACUUCUUCAAGCAGACCAAGAUUUCCUCUGUGCUACUGAGGCUAAGAUAGAUGAGGUUUGUGCUAGGCGUCUAUGAAUGGGACAUGGUUAUAGGACCCAGGCUAUAGUGCUAUUCAGAGCUGCCUACAGCACUCUCACCCAGGAUUGUCAGGAAGCACUCCAGUCUCAUUUUUUUCCCAUUACUGAGUUUCCAAAUGUUACCUUUAAGAGGAAUUGCUGCUCAUAUUGAGUUUUGAGUUAUAGGGUCUGAAACCACAUCAUUUAUGUUUUUGAACUAAUCGAUGGCAGGUGUUGAAGAAAUUUCACAUUCUCUUAUCUGUUGGUCUUUCACACUGUACCCCCGCACAAAGAAAAUAGCACUGGCAGACCUGGCCAGAGGAGACUCAACAAUACUUUACUAGCAUUAUUUACUUUUAGUUCAAUAAGAUUUGAGUAUUGUUCUGGACUGAUGGUGAGCAAAGUAAAAGUUUCAAGAUGCCAGCGGGUAGAAAGGACAGCUAUGUGUUCAUAGGUAUGAGUCUGUUUCCUGGAAAAGAAUUAAGAUAGUAUGUUGAAAGAAGAAGUAGAUAUAUCUAGAGAUACUAUAGACAAACUAAGUUAUAGAAAUGUAAACUUUAAAACUAUGACAAGCAUCUAUAAAUUAUGUAUGAUAAUAUUUUUAAAACAGAGGUGAAUGUUGGAGACCACUUCAUAAAACAUUUCUCUUCAGUAUUUGACUGUGCAUUAAUUAUUUUUUUUGCAUGACAAUACUUUUUUAGUGCCACAAUAUUUUCUUAGUGCCAUAAGUUGCUAUGCAGGUUUUUGGAGAAGAGUCAUCAAAUCUUUCUCCAAGUGGUGCAUGCUACAAUCCUGAACUGCCCAGACAGAUAAUGGUACUGGUAUCUUGCCACAGUGACAUGAAUGUUUUGGGGAUUAUCAGUUACUCCUUGGUUGGAUAGGAGGCCUACUCUAUGGGGACGAAUGUAUGCCCUGUACUGUAUAGGCCCUGCAUGCUACAGUAUUGUGAUAAUUGGUACAUUGGGGACAUGAAUGCUUUGGGGAUGAAUUAUAUGUUUACAAUUUAAAAAAAUUAAUUUAUAUUUGGUUCAUUAUAACUUUACAGUCACUUGUUCUCUGUACUCUGGUUGUGUUUCUAUAAUGGUCUCCGUCUGAUGCAAGGAGACAUGUCUUUGAUAAGGGAUGGCACCGACUCUUAUCUGUGGGCUUAAGGAUAAAUGUUUAGAAUGUCGUUAGGAAUGCACUGAUUUAGUAAAGUGGUUUUUGGAGGUACUCCUCUGAGACCCAUGGCCUCACUAGCCUCCUACGUAUGGCUUGGUGUCCAGUACCAGGCAUGUGCUCACUCUUGUUGAGUUAACCUUGGGUCAAGUCAGAGGGCUGUUCAUUACUCCCAAAGUCUGCCUACCACCAUUGUACCCUUGGGGAUAUCAUUCCAUGUUCAUUGUUGCUUUAGUUCAUAAGCACCAUAGCUGGGUAGGACUAUUGUUUGCUUUCCUCCCUUGAAAUCUUCCAUGGAGCCUCUGGUACCAUGAAAGCUAAUCAUCAGGAAGGAUGCUUUCAGGUAUGAUCCCAAUUUGAAUCCUGAUUUUUUUUGUCCAAAGAUUCAGUGUUGUCAGCAAUAGGGACUUACCUUCAACCCCUGGGAGGCAGCCAAUGGCAACAGCAAUAUCCUAUAAUGUUUUGGGAGUUUCUUGGACAACUUUGACCUAAAACUCUGAAGGGAGAUUCUCAUAGCUUAUUGGAGGUUUUUGCUAUAUUGUCCUUGGUUCUUGGGAAGAGCAAUUGUUAGAUCACAUAGGAAAAUAUUUAUCUAAACCAUAUAUGUAUAUGUAUAAGUGGAUUUAUAUUUUUAUAUUAUACCAUAUAUAUAGUAUAUGUAUUUUAUAUAUAUAGAGAGAGAGAGACAUGUUAUAAUAUCUAUAUUACAUUAUAUAAUAGAUUAUACUAUAAAUAUGCAUGUAAUUAUAUAUAUAUAUACAUGUAUACAUAUACACAUGUAUGUAUAUGUAUAUAUAUGUGCCACAAUGUCUUUUUUAGGCAUCUUUACUAUUAAUGUAUUUCUUAAGGCUAUGAAAUAGUAGGGAUUAAGUUUUUCAGUAAAAUACAUCUUUUAUGUUAGUCUUAGUAACUUUUAUUUGUGAGUUCUUGACCAAGUAUUGUGUCUUUAUAGCAGAGACCGUUCACAACUCACUGGAUUCUCAGACUUGCCUGAGAAUUGCCUCUCAUCUCUAUGGGCUGACUUUCAUACUUCCCUGAGAUUCAGUUGUAAUUCUGAAUUUAUUGCAAUUUUCUCUAUAUUUGAACACCCUGUAUCUGUGUUUCUAUGUUGCCUUCAAGAUAAAUGAAUAGUUUUGACUAAUAUAAACCCAAUUCAAAGACAUCUCAGAGAGUGUGGUCCCCACUUUCUAUAACAUUCUUAGCAUGAUGUCAAAUGACCACUUUCACUAAUGUAUGAGGUACCACAUAUGUCCUCUCUAUGGACCAUGUCCAUUUUCAUUGUUAUUUUACUCGAAUGUUAUGAGUUACUUGAGAUAUAGAUGGUAGAGAUAAAUAUAUGUUGUCUAUACUAAGUCUGUGCAUUGGGAAUUUGACAAGGGCAUAAUGGGGACAUUGUCUUUACUCCAUGCUAUCUAGGGUCAUAACCAUAUGAUUGAACUCUUUUGGCUGGAGUCAUCUGAAGGCUACUUUACUCACAGAUAUAAGGAGUGACCCUAGUUAUUUGUUUCAUCCCUCUUUUCAUCUUCGUGUAUAUUCUACACGAGGAGCUGCCUCCUUAUGUGACUGUUGCAUAGAUGAUUUUGGGAUUUCCUCUUCUAUGUCACCUAAUUUCUUCAUAGUGUCUUUCCCUAAAGGGGAAAUACUAGUUCUUUUAUUAUAACCUAGUUUC